rnacentral:misc_RNA from 1 species
UCCUCCUUACAGAGGCAGUUUGUUUCGAGUUCCCGGCAUGACCCGCUGGUAACAAAACAUGAGGGUUGCGCUCGUUGCGGGACUUAACCCAACAUCUCACGACACGAGCUGACGACAACCAUGCACCACCUGUGAACCGGCCGCAAGCGGGGCACCUGUCUCCAGGUAUUUCCAGUCCAUGUCAAGCCUUGGUAAGGUUCUUCGCGUUGCAUCGAAUUAAUCCGCAUGCUCCGCCGCUUGUGCGGGCCCCCGUCAAUUCCUUUGAGUUUUAGCCUUGCGGUCGUACUUCCCAGGUGGGAUACUUAGUGCUUUCGCUCAGACACACACUGUGUAUCGCGUAUGUCGAGUAUCCAUCGUUUAGGGCGUGGACUAC